GAUGAAGAACGUAGCGAAAUGCGAUAAGUAAUGUGAAUUGCAGAAUUCAGUGAAUCAUCGAAUCUUUGAACGCACAUUGCGCCCGCUGGUAUUCCGGCGGGCAUGUCUGUUCGAGCGUCAUUUCAACCCUCAAGCUCUCCGGAGUUUGGUGUUGGGGCGCCUGGGGCUUUUCGACCUCAGGGCCCUCAAGUCCAUCGGCGGGACCGCCAGGACACUGAGCGCAGUAGUAUUAUUUCGCUCGGUAGGAUCUUCCACGGCGGGUCGAUCUGGCCGCUAAACCCCCCAAUUCUCACCAAAGGUUGACCUCGGAUCAGGUAGGAAUACCCGCUGAACUUAAGCAUAUCAAUAAGCGGAGGA
rnacentral:misc_RNA from 1 species